AUUGAACGCUGGCGGCAGGCCUAACACAUGCAAGUCGAGCGAGCGGCGGACGGGUGAGUAAUGUAUGGGGAUCUGCCCGAUGGAGGGGGAUAACUACUGGAAACGGUGGCUAAUACCGCAUACCAUCGGAUGUACCCAUAUGGGAUUAGCUAGUAGGUUAGUUAACGGCUCACCUAGGCGACGAUCCCUAGCUGUUCUGAGAGGAUGAGCAGCAACACGGGAACUGAGACACGGUCCAGACUCCUACGGGAGGAAGCAGUGGGGAAUAUUGCACAAGGGGCGCAAGCCUGAUGCAGCCAUGCCGCGUGUAUGAAGAAGGCCUUAGGGUUGUAAAGUACUUUCAGUGGGGAGGCGUUACCCGCAGAAGAAGCACCGGCUAACUCCGUGCCAGCAGCCGCGGUAAUUC
rnacentral:rRNA from 1 species